rnacentral:rRNA from 1 species
ACGGAAGGCAGCAGUGAGGAAUAUUGGUCAAUGGGCGGAAGCCUGAACCAGCCAAGUCGCGUGAAGGAUGAAGGUAUUAUGUAUUGUAAACUUCUUUAGUCGUAGAGAAAUAAGGUGCUCGUGAGCACUGAUGCUAGUAUACGAAGAAUAAGGAUCGGCUAACUCCGUGCCAGCAGCCGCGGUAAUACGGAGGAUCCGAGCGUUAUCCGGAUUUAUUGGGUUUAAAGGGUGCGCAGGCGGUCUUUUAAGUCAGUGGUAAAAUCGGGGGGCUCACCCCCAUCCCGCCAUUGAUACUGGAGGACUUGAUUGCGGUCGAGGUUGGCGGAAUUCGUCGUGUAGCGGUGAAAUGCAUAGAUAUGACGAAGAACACCGAUUGCGUAGGCAGCUGACCAGGCCGUAAAUGACGCUCAUGCACGAAAGUGCGGGGAUCGAACAGGAUUAGAUACCCUGGUA